GAAAAAGCCUUUAUUUUUGUGCUAAUUUAAUGAAGUCGAAGCAAAUAUCAGGAAAAAGAAAUGAGGAGAGUUUGAACAAAGCCCAUCACUUUUUAUCACACCUACUGUUCAAGGAAUAACAACUCCAGCGAGAAUGAAAAUUGACAAAUAGUGUCCUGCUGUUCUUUAAUGACAAUUGACAUGGAUGCAAAACAUAAGCUUUUAUUCAACACACACAUUCUGAAAAAUGGCUACAUACUGGUUUUCCCUAGACCUUAUGAUACAGUGUGAGAUUAUUCUCUAAUUAUACUAGUGAAAAGCACAGGAACUCUAACCAUCCAUACUUGUCUAUAGAAAUGUAUCAUGUCCAAUUAAAAAGGACACUCCUCUUUCCGUUCAAAGAAGCAACCAGAAGGACCA
rnacentral:misc_RNA from 1 species